CGCAGUGUGAUGAUAUCUGCAGAUCGCCUACGGCUCAGUACACGUGACAAUCUGCCUGAGAGAGAUAAUCCCGGGAAACUGGGGGUAAUGCUCUAUAGUCCGGGGAAACUGGAAUGUUUCCCGGACGAAAGAUCCGUCGCUUCAGGAUGAGUCUGCGGCCGAUUAGGUAGUUGUUGGGGUAAAAGCCCAACAAGCCCGUAAUCGGUACGGGUUGUGGGAGCAAGAGCCCGGAGAUGGAUUCUGAGACACGAAUCCAGGCCCUACGGGGCGCAGCAGGCGCGAAAACUUUACAAUGCGGGCAACCGUGAUAAGGAAACCCCGAGUGCCAGCACAGGCUGGCUGUCCGCCAGUGUAAACAACUGGCGAAGAAAGGGCCGGGCAAGACCGGUGCCAGCCGCCGCGGUAAUACCGGCGGCUCGAGUGGUGGCCGCUUUUACUGGGCUUAAAGGGUCCGUAGCUGGAUUCACAAGUCCCUUGAGAAAUCCAUCGGCUUAACUGAUGAGCGUUCAGGGGAUACUGUGGUUCUAGGGACCGGGAGAGGUGAGAGGUACUGCCGGGGUAGGAGUGAAAUCCUGUAAUCCCGGUGGGACGACCUAUGGCGAAGGCAUCUCACCAGAACGGCUCCGACAGUGAGGGACGAAAGCUGGGGGAGCAAACCGGAUUAGAUACCCGGGUAGUCCCAGCUGUAAACGAUGCGCGUUAGGUGUGUCAGUGACCACGUGUCACUGAGGUGCCGAAGGGAAACCG
rnacentral:rRNA from 1 species